rnacentral:rRNA from 1 species
UACAGAGGGUGCAAGCGUUAAUCGGAAUUACUGGGCGUAAAGCGUGCGUAGACGGUAGCGUAAGUCGGGUGUGAAAGCCCCGGGCUCAACCUGGGAAUUGCAUUCGAGACUGCUCUGCUAGGGUGCGGAAGAGGGAAGCGGAAUUUCCGGUGUAGCGGUGAAAUGCGCAGAUAUCAGGAAGAACACCCGUGGCUAAGGCGGCUCUCUAGUACGGUACUGACGCUGAGACGCGAAAAGCGUGGGGAGCGAACAGG